rnacentral:rRNA from 1 species
GGUUAAGUUAGAAAGGGCGCACGGUGGAUGCCUUGACACUAGGAGUCGAUGAAGGACGGGACUAACGCCGAUAUGCUUCGGGGAGCUGUAAGUAAGCUUUGAUCCGAAGAUUUCCGAAUGGGGAAACCCACCAUACGUAAUGGUAUGGUAUCCUUAUCUGAAUACAUAGGAUAAGGAAGACAGACCCAGGGAACUGAAACAUCUAAGUACCUGGAGGAAGAGAAAGCAAAUGCGAUUUCCUGAGUAGCGGCGAGCGAAACGGAACAUAGCCCAAACCAAGAGGCUUGCCUCUUGGGGUUGUAGGACAUUCUAUACGGAGUUACAAAGGAACGAGGUAGACGAAGCGACCUGGAAAGGUCCGUCGUAGAGGGUAACAACCCCGUAGUCGAAACUUCGUUCUCUCUUGAAUGUAUCCUGAGUACGGCGGAACACGUGAAAUUCCGUCGGAAUCUGGGAGGACCAUCUCCCAAGGCUAAAUACUCCCUAGUGAUCGAUAGUGAACCAGUACCGUGAGGGAAAGGUGAAAAGCACCCCGGAAGGGGAGUGAAAGAGAUCCUGAAACCGUGUGCCUACAAAUAGUCAGAGCCCGUUAAUGGGUGAUGGCGUGCCUUUUGUAGAAUGAACCGGCGAGUUACGAUCCCGUGCGAGGUUAAGCUGAAGAGGCGGAGCCGCAGCGAAAGCGAGUCUGAAUAGGGCGUUUAGUACGUGGUCGUAGACCCGAAACCAGGUGAUCUACCCAUGUCCAGGGUGAAGUUCAGGUAACACUGAAUGGAGGCCCGAACCCACGCACGUUGAAAAGUGCGGGGAUGAGGUGUGGGUAGCGGAGAAAUUCCAAUCGAACCUGGAGAUAGCUGGUUCUCCCCGAAAUAGCUUUAGGGCUAGCCUUAAGUGUAAGAGUCUUGGAGGUAGAGCACUGAUUGGACUAGGGGUCCUCAUCGGAUUACCGAAUUCAGUCAAACUCCGAAUGCCAAUGACUUAUCCUUAGG